AUUGAACGCUGGCGGCAUGCCUUACACAUGCAAGUCGAACGGCAGCACGGGUGCUUGCACCUGGUGGCGAGUGGCGAACGGGUGAGUAAUACAUCGGAACAUGUCCUGUAGUGGGGGAUAGCCCGGCGAAAGCCGGAUUAAUACCGCAUACGAUCCACGGAUGAAAGCGGGGGACCUUCGGGCCUCGCGCUAUAGGGUUGGCCGAUGGCUGAUUAGCUAGUUGGUGGGGUAAAGGCCUACCAAGGCGACGAUCAGUAGCUGGUCUGAGAGGACGACCAGCCACACUGGGACUGAGACACGGCCCAGACUCCUACGGGAGGCAGCAGUGGGGAAUUUUGGACAAUGGGCGAAAGCCUGAUCCAGCAAUGCCGGGUGUGUGAAGAAGGCCUUCGGGUUGUAAAGCACUUUUGUCCGGAAAGAAAUCCUUGGCUCUAAUACAGUCGGGGGAUGACGGUACCGGAAGAAUAAGCACCGGCUAACUACGUG
rnacentral:rRNA from 1 species